rfam:Pseudomonadales bacterium RIFCSPLOWO2_02_FTLL_63_210 rifcsplowo2_02_scaffold_435402, whole genome shotgun sequence.
AAAGUCCCGAACGAUAAAGGCCUAGCAAGCCAUAUUGUCCCCGAGUCAUGCGUGAGGAGUGGCCGUGAGGCACGUCACGAAGCGUUGACAGGGGUGCGUGUAGGCCAGCCAUUGAGCCGCGAAAUAAUCGAAUUCCGGGACGCCGACGCUUUCGUGCUUGCGGAAGGCAACACGGACAGCCGCGCUAUUGCGAGCGGUUGUCCGGUCCCGCGCGGUCCGAGACUC